rnacentral:lncRNA from 13 species
AAAAAUUUUGAUAAUUUUUAAAUAAUAUGAAUGCUCAAACAAAAUACAUGAAAUGCAAACUAUUUCUAAGCAACUGGUUUCUGAUAAGUUGGCAUCAAAACAAAUUUAAAAAUUCAUCCCACUUUUUUUUCUGAAUUCUACUUUCAAUGUUGUUACAUUUAAUAAGAAGGAUUUCUUAUGUCGUGUUAUUAAAUAUGGGUGUAACACUCAAAACAACAAUGUCAAAACCUUGCAUACCUUCUAUUUCAGUCUACUCCAAUUGUCGAUGGUUUCCUAAUGCAAAGAAAAGUUCACUUUGGGAGGCCGAGGCAGGUGGAUCACGAGGUCAAGAAAUCGAGACCAUCCUGGUCAACAUGUCAGAUCACACCUCCCCUUUUACAGAUAACAUUGCUUGAAGGAAGACAGAACUAUGCUACUCAAGAAUCAUGACGAACAGAUCAUAUAGACAGGGGUUUGCAGUGUUGCCCAGACUGAAAUGCAGUUUUGUGACCUCAGCUCACCACAACCUCCACCUCCUGCUCCUGCCUCAGCCUCUUGAGUAGCUGGGAUUACAGGCACGCAACCACACCAAGCUAACGUUUGUACUUCAGUAGAGAAAAGGUUUCAUCCUUUUCGCCAGGCUGGGCUGAAACUCCUGACCUCAAGUUAUCUACAUUCUUUGGACUCCCAAAGUGUUAGGAUUGCAAGCAUGAGUCACCACACCUGGCUCCAACCCAGAUUUUUAAGGCUCUCCCAAGGAUAAUUUCCUUAAAGCACAAACUAGUUUAUGUCUGUUGAUUAACAUUCUUUUAUGAAUUUCUCCAGUUUUCAGAAUAAAAUAUUGUAUUUUACUUUUAUUUUCA